UUCAGGUACACCUCUAACAGCUAUAACAUGAAAGCGCAACCUCGUUUUGAGUUUUCAAUGGGGGAGGUAAUAAUCUACCACAUAACGUUAUAGCCAGGCAGAUCUUAUAAUUUACUACAAUUCAGAAAGAUAAAAUGUUUAUUUUAAUCAUAGUUUAUGCCAUUCUUAAAUUUAUUUCUGCAAAGGAAUAUCGUUUGUGUGAAGAUAAUCAAACAGAAGUUGUUGUAAAUUUUACAUAUUCUAAUAACUGCACAGAAAAGAAUCAACAAAUACAUUGUUCAACAAUUUCGGCUGCUUUAUCUGUUCUAAAUCUAACUAACUUAUGUAUUAUCAUAGAAGAUAAUCAAACAUUGAGUAAUGUAAUCGUUAUAAAAGAUGUUAGCAAUUUGAGCGUAAUCGGUGUAAAUUCAGAAAUAGUAAUUAAUUGUGCAUCAAAUUUAAAUGCUGGGAUUUUGAUAUACAAUGUUACAAGAUUGUUGUUCAUGAAUCUCCAUAUAACCCACUGUGGUUCAGUAAGUAAGCAAACUUUUAGAAGGAAUGCUAUUACAUUGUCAUCUGCACUUUUUUUCUCUGAUCUUAUCAAUGUCACUUUCAGAAAUGUUCAAUUUACUUAUAGCAUUGGUUAUUCUGUUAUUUUACAGAAUUGCAGGGGGAAAAUUGAUUUUGAAACAGUUAAUUUUCAAAACAAUACAAUUAUUUUACCAUUAAAUGAGUCUUUAGAACAUCGCUCAGGGGGAGGUUUACUAAUUUUGUACUCAGAAGAUAAAAUAAAUGAAAUAGCAAAUAUAAAUAUAGAAAACUGUGUUUUCCAAUGGAACUCUGGUAUAAUAAACAGUACAAGUAAAAUAAAAAAUUUAGCUAAUGAAUUUGAUGUUCCCUUUGGUCGUGGUGGCGGGUUAAGUGUUUUCUUUACUGAAGUUUUAGGCAAAAAUAUUUUAUCAAUAACUAAAUGUAAAUUUUGGUAUAAUAAGGGUCUGUGGGGUGGAGGUUUAUAUAUUUUUCAAGGAUUAAACAGUAGCAUAACAAUCAAAGAAUCAUCUUUUUUUCACAAUAAUGGUACAUUCGGUGGUGCCUUAAGACUUAGUAAUAAAAAUAUUAUAGAAAAAAUUGUAACAUUUCAAAAUUGCAAUUUUACGUAUAACUCUGCUCAACUUGGUUCUGCUAUUUAUUUAUUUCGAGUUUCUUUAGUUUUGAAACAAUCACAAUUCUCUUACAAUCGUUGGCAUUUUAAGCAAACUAUAGGACUAGGUGCUAUUUACACACAUUAUAGCAAAAUUCAAUUUUAUGGUGAAAAUUUUUUCGAUAAUAAUUUAAAUACAGCAAUUAUCCUUGAAAAUGCAGUUGCAUUUGUAUCAGGACAAAUUUAUUUUGAAGGAAAUAAAGGAAAUAAAGGUGGAGCUUUAAGAUUGUAUAUAAACUCUAAAGUUAUAAUGAGUUCCAAUGAAAGCUCUAUGUUUUUUAUAAAAAACUCUGCUUUACAGGGUGGUGCUAUAUAUGCUGAACAAAGUUUAUCUUGUUCUUUUAAUGUUGUCUAUAAACUUGAUGAAAAUGAAAACUGUUUUCUUUCAAACAAAAAUAGUGGAAAGUUAGAAUACAGCAACAACACAGCAAGUUAUGUAAUAAAUGAUAUAUUUGUUUCUACUCUUCGAUGCUGCCAUUUUAAAUUUUGGAGUUAUUUUGGAACUAAUAAAUUUUUUACAGAUCCAGUCAACUUAUACGCAUAUAUAGAUAAUUUAACAAGUAUUUAUUCUGGAAAACUAAUUUAUCCAACUGUUUUUUUAGUUGAUGAGCUCAAUCAAAGUUUAUCAAGUUCAAUAGAUGUUUAUCUUAAUGGCUUAUUACAAAGGUUUGUGGUUAAAGAAAAUAAAAUUACUAUGCAAGUUUUUGGAUCAAAAGAGCAAAAUUAUUCAAUCAUUUUCUCCUUAAAGAAUGUUUAUCAAACUAUUAUUGAAUUUAAGCUAACGUUUUGUCCUUUAGGUUAUGCCAAGGAAGCAGAUAGUUGCAUAUGUAACAGUGAAAAAAACCUUCGUAAAGGAAUAGUAUGCAAUACAGAUGGAACAAUAUCUUUAUUAGCUGGUUUGUAUGUUAAUUAUACUCAAAAGGCAAUACAAAAUGAUAAUGAAACCACACAUAUUUGCCCUUAUGGAUAUUGUACUCCUUGCCCAAAUUUAACAUGCUCGUUCAACCCAGAUAACCAAUGUGUAAAAGGGAGGUUAGGUUAUUUAUGUUCUAAAUGCCAAGAAAAUAAAACUGUUGAGUUUGGAGGGGAAGAUUGUAUUAAAAAAUGCAGCUUGUUGAAUUUACUUUUUAUUUUACCAGGAAUUCUUUUUAUAUUCGCUUUAGUUUGUUUUGCAGUAGCUUUUUUAAAUAUAUGUAUUUAUGAUUCAUGGCUAAACUCUUGUAUUUACUUUUACCAAGUUAUUCAGUACCAUGUUACAGCUACACAGAAUCGAGAAGACACAUUUGUUAAUACUUUUCUUCAAAACAUUAUAAAUUUUCAUGGAGUUCAUAUUGGCCCGCAUAAAAUUAGUCUUUGUCUUAUAAAUGAAUGGAAUGAUUUAGACAAAGUUGCAUUUAAUUAUUUAAUACCCUUGACAAUGUUAGUUAGUGUUACUGUUAUUGCAAAGUGGAACAAGUUGCACAAUGCUUUACAAACUCUAAACAACAAAGUGAUCUACCUUUUAAAAGUCAAAUCCAAUGAAGAAGUUAAUUUAAAAUGUGAAAACAAUAUUAUUAGAGUUUAUGUUUUGAUUUCUGUGCUUGCAUAUGCAGAUAUUACAAGGAUAACACUCACUAUUCUUUACCCAGUGGAAUACGAUGGUGUAAAAAAUCAUGUUUAUAUCUACGGGGAUUUGAUUUUUUUUUCACAACGUCAUCUAAUUUAUUCAAUAAUUGCAAUCUUUUUUGUUUUGUUUAUUGUUCUUCUAUGGCCAUUGCUACUUAUAACAACAGUGUGGUGGACUAAAUUGAAGGUCUUUCAAUAUUUUGGUCGUUUGUAUCCAAUUUUUUCAGCAUUUAAUGCACCGUUUCAUGACCGUUUUCAAUGGUUUGCUUCCUUAUAUUUCUUUUCAAGAGUUGUAAUUAUUGCUUUUGGAAUUUUGAUUGAUGAUAAACUUAUUCAAAUGGUUUCUGUAACAAUAUCAUCUUUAACACUUCUGUUUGUUUUUACACUUUGCUUUCCUUAUAAAAAUCCAGCUUCCAAUUAUUUUGAUAUUUUUUUGCAAAGUUUGCUUUUACUGAGUGGUGUUCUUAGCAUUGGAAAAUAUGGUUUACUUGUCAAUAAGUACACCUUUUUUUUAUUUUCUGUAGUCAGAGCUUUGAUGAUAUUACCAUUUAUAUUACUAUUAUUAAGAUGGUUCUACUGUUUUUCUGUGUGGAUUAAUUUAAAAGAUUCACUGUGCGCAGCAACUGGGUGGAAACUGUAAAAAGUAAUGUUGCUGACAAUUUUGGCGUGGGAAGGAGCCUAACGGGAAUGAUAAUAUCUUCUGUUCCCAUGUUAGUCUUUAUUCAGUACAUCCCCGAUUGGUUUAGAGAUCGCAUUCUAAAUAAAGUACGGUACUUUUUGUUAAAGAACUAAAUAAACAACGUUUAUUGUAACUUGCUUAAUUAUUUGCAUUAUAGUUGAGAACUUAUAGCAUAUUUGUUCUUAGCAUAUUUCAAAUUAUUGUAAUAUAUUAGUUUAUUGAUAUGAUCACUAGUUUAUUGAUAUGAUUAUUUAUUUGUGCUUUUCUCUAUACAUCUCUAUAGCUUACCUUUUUAAAGAUUUUUUUUUUUAAAAUAAGUUUUUAAUAUUAUUUUUAUUAAAUAAAGUUUAAUCUUUAGUAGUUUAAAUAAUUAAAUUAUUUUUAUUUUUUAUUACUCAAAAUUUAUAAUGAUAGGAAUUUGAUCACAUUCUAACGCAGGAUUUUUAUUAGGCAUGUGGGCUUCUAUAUUUUAAAAAUCUUUUGACUGAAAUUUUGAUUAUUUUUAUUAAAGAUUCAUUAA